CCAAAAGCUAAAGUAGUGUUUCCUUGUUAGAAGAUACAAAGCUAGAGACUCAUACGAAUUUCGGCUACACCAUCAAAACUUUGAGAAGCAAUAAGAAAUUUGGUA
rnacentral:sRNA from 1 species